rnacentral:ncRNA from 1 species
GAGAGCCGGAUGCCCGGUCAACGGGCACGUCCGGUUCGGAGGGCGGCCCGAGGAAACGGGCUGGUCGCAAAGCCAGCACCGCGCCUCGGGCCGACCCUAC